CCUACGGGGGGCAGCAGUGAGGAAUAUUGCCCAAUGGACGCAAGUCUGAGGCAGCGACGCCGCGUGGGUGAAGAAGGCCUUCGGGUCGUAAAGCCCUUUUCUGUGUGACGAGCAAGGACGGUAGCACAGGAAAAAGUCUCGGCUAACUACGUGCCAGCAGCCGCGGUAAAACGUAGGAGGCAAGCGUUAUCCGGAGUUACUGGGCGUAAAGCGUGCGUAGGCGGGUCGGUAAGUGGGUGGUGAAAGCGCCGGGCUAAACCGGGCGAGGUCCAUUC
rnacentral:rRNA from 1 species